AUGACGUAGGUAGCGUCAGGUCAAUCGGAACAUAGGAAGGUUUCCGGUUACAUCUUUCAAAACUAGACUAUUGGGCUCGACAAUGUGGUCGCAACUGUUUGCUUUUUUUUGCACACUUAGUCCGAUUUGAGCUGAUCCACCUAUGGACGGAACGACCUGUUAGAGCUUUGUGGAGUUCUGAUGAUUCUGUCUAUGACUCAGUCAGCAGGUUACACCACGAAGGGCUGUCAAAAGAAGUACUGAGUGAGUAAAACCCAUAUCUUGCUGUGAAGAGGACUGGUGCAUCUGUGCCAUACCCACUGCACCCAGUGUCAUCCUCCCGCUGGUGUCCUCAGCCAUCAUCACACUCUUUCUCUGAGGCUCUGGAACAGCUACAGCUGAGAAUAUUUUACUGUUUUUCUAACCACAUUUGAACAGCUCAGGAGCAAUAAACACACAGCAGGGAAUGAAUUACAGCGAAAAAAAUUUGCUUUGUUAUGAAUUCCUAGUUAUUGCAUAAAGAUGAGAGACAAAACCGGAUAUAAAACAUGAACAAUCAUUAGUAAAUUAAUAAAUUAUAGUUAGUUCUUGAUCUGAGGAUUAUUGAAGCAGAUCAGCAGACAUAAAGACUUUGGACUUUCUAGUUUGAUGCCCUUGGUUACUUUUCAAACUGAAAACCACAGAAUGCUGCAGAGCAAACUCUCAAGGCCAAUUACUGGUUUCAGAGUCCAGGUGAAGUAGUAAGACAUCCCUUUUUCUGCAGGCUUCUGACAGAUUUCGUAGCACUUAUGGAUAAUAAGCAUCUGUGUCUGCGACUCGUGUAAAAUAUAACCUCAGGUCCA